UACAGAGGUGGCAAGCGUUGUUCGGAAUUACUGGGCGUAAAGGGCGAGUAGGUGGCCAUCUAAGUCAGACGUGAAAUCCCCAAGCUUAACUUGGGAACUGCAUCCGAUACUGGAUGGCUUGAAUCCGGGAGAGGGAUGCAGAAUUCCAGGUGUAGCGGUGAAAUGCGUAGAUAUCUGGAGGAAUACCGGUGGCGAAGGCGGCAUCCUGGACCGGCAUUGACGCUGAGGAGCGAAAGCUAGGGGAGCAAACGGG
rnacentral:rRNA from 1 species